rnacentral:snRNA from 1 species
AUGCUCGNUUCGACAACACAUAUACUAAAAUUGGAACGAUACAGAGAAGAUUAGCAUGGCCCCUGUGCAAGGAUGACAGAGUCAUUGUCCUUCUAC